rnacentral:tRNA from 1 species
GCGGCUGUGGUUUAGUGGUAGAACAUCUGCCUUCCAAGCAGAGGUCGCGGGUUCGAUUCCCGUCAGUUGCUCCA